rnacentral:tRNA from 1 species
AAAGAACCGUACUGUAGACCGACACAGGUAUGAUAAAGGAGAAUGAGAUAACUACUAUGAAUGAACUCGGC